rnacentral:rRNA from 1 species
UACAGAGGUCUCAAGCGUUGUUCGGAUUCAUUGGGCGUAAAGGGUGCGUAGGCGGCGCGGUAAGUCGGGUGUGAAAUCUUGGAGCUUAACUCCGAAACUGCAUUCGAUACUGCCGUGCUUGAGGACUGGAGAGGAGACUGGAAUUUACGGUGUAGCGGUGAAAUGCGUAGAUAUCAGGAGGAAUACCGGUGGUGCAGACGGCUCUCUGGACCGCAACUGACGCUGAGACACGAAAAGCGUGGGUAGCAAACAGG